rnacentral:rRNA from 1 species
GAUGAACGCUGGCGGCGUGCCUAAUACAUGCAAGUCGAGCGAACGGACGAGAAGCUUGCUUCUCUGAUGUUAGCGGCGGACGGGUGAGUAACACGUGGAUAACCUACCUAUAAGACUGGGAUAACUUCGGGAAACCGUAGCUAAUACCGGAUAAUAUUUUGAACCGCAUGGUUAAAAAGUGAAAGACGGUCUUGCUGUCACUUAUAGAUGGAUCCGCGCUGCAUUAGCUAGUUGGUAAGGUAACGGCUUACCAAGGCAACGAUGCAUAGCCGACCUGAGAGGGUGAUCGGCCACACUGGAACUGAGACACGGUCCAGACUCCUACGGGAGGCAGCAGUAGGGAAUCUUCCGCAAUGGGCGAAAGCCUGACGGAGCAACGCCGCGUGAGUGAUGAAGGUCUUCGGAUCGUAAAACUCUGUUAUUAGGGAAGAACAUAUGUGUAAGUAACUGUGCACAUCUUGACGGUACCUAAUCAGAAAGCCACGGCUAACUACGU